rnacentral:rRNA from 1 species
GAUGAACGCUAGCGGCAGGCCUAAUACAUGCAAGUCGAACGAGAUCCAAGAGCUUGCUUUUGGUGAAAGUGGCGCACGGGUGCGUAACGCGUAUGCAACCUACCUUAAUCAGGGGGAUAGCCUCUCGAAAGAGAGAUUAACACCGCAUAACAUUAUGAUAUGGCAUCAUAUUAUAAUCAAAUAUUUAUAGGAUUAAGAUGGGCAUGCGUGACAUUAGCUAGUUGGUGAGGUAACGGCUCACCAAGGCUACGAUGUCUAGGGGAUCUGAGAGGAUGACCCCCCACACUGGUACUGAGACACGGACCAGACUCCUACGGGAGGCAGCAGUGAGGAAUAUUGGACAAUGGGCGCAAGCCUGAUCCAGCCAUGCCGCGUGCAGGAAGACGGUCCUAUGGAUUGUAAACUGCUUUUGUACGGGAAGAAACACUCCCUCGUGAGGGAGCUUGACGGUACCGUAAGAAUAAGGAUCGGCUAACUCCGUGCCAGCAGCCGCAGUAAGAC